rnacentral:tRNA from 1 species
GCCCGGGUGGCGGAAUUGGUAUACGCGCACGACUUAAAAUCGUGUCUUGAAAGAGAUGAGGGUUCGAUUCCCUCCCCGGGCA